rnacentral:rRNA from 1 species
AUGAUGCUCGCCGCUGACGUCCACCUCGGCAACAAGAAAUGCGACUUCCAGAUGGAGCGCUACGCCUACAAGUGCCGCUCCGAUGGCAUCUACAUCAUCAAUCUGGGCAAGACGUGGGAGAAGCUCCAGCUCGCGGCAAGGGUCAUCGUGGCCAUCGAGAACCCCCAGGACAUCAUCGUCCAGUCCGCCCGCCCCUACGGCCAGCGCGCCGUCCUCAAGUUCGCGCAGCACACCAGCGCCAACGCCAUCGCCGGGAGGCACACCCCUGGUACCUUCACCAACCAGAUGCAGACCUCCUUCAGCGAGCCACGCCUGCUCAUCCUCACUGACCCAAGGACCGACCACCAGGCCAGGAUGGUUCUGCAGAUGCUUGAUAUUCUGAACUUCUUCUUGCUGUGUUUUGCUGCAGGUGAAUGGAGCAGCAAGGCCAAGCACCCUCCGAGCGCCUUCAUCGUCUUCAUGUGA